GGGGCCGUAGGGUAGCUUGGUCCAUCCUCCCAGCCCGGGGCGCUGGAGACCCGAGUUCAAAUCUCGGCGGCCCCA
rnacentral:tRNA from 1 species